GACGAACGCUGGCGGCGUGCUUAACACAUGCAAGUCGAACGGAAAGGCCCUGCUUUUGUGGGGUGCUCGAGUGGCGAACGGGUGAGUAACACGUGAGUAACCUGCCCUUGACUUUGGGAUAACUUCAGGAAACUGGGGCUAAUACCUGAUAGGAGCUCCUGCUGCAUGGUGGGGGUUGGAAAGUUUAGGCGGUUGGGGAUGGACUCGCGGCUUAUCAGCUUGUUGGUGGGGUAGUGGCUUACCAAGGCUUUGACGGGUAGCCGGCCUGAGAGGGGGAACGGCGACAUUGGGACUGAGAUACGGCCCAGACUCCUAAGGGAGGCAACAGUCGGGAAUAUUGCACAAUGGGCGGAAGCCUGAUGAAGCAACGCCGCGUGCGGGAUGACGGCCUUCGGGUUGUAAACCGCUGUCGCCUGAGACGAAGCGGGAGUGACGUUAAUGGCUAAAGAAGCACCGGCUAACUACGUG
rnacentral:rRNA from 1 species